CACGUAGGGGCGAGCGUUGUCCGGAAUUACUGGGCGUAAAGGGUGCGUAGGUGGUUUCUUAAGUCAGAGGUGAAAGGCUACGGCUCAACCGUAGUAAGCCUUUGAAACUGGGAAACUUGAGUGCAGGAGAGGAGAGUGGAAUUCCUAGUGUAGCGGUGAAAUGCGUAGAUAUUAGGAGGAACACCAGUGGCGAAGGCGGCUUUCUGGACUGUAACUGACACUGAGGCACGAAAGCGUGGGGAGCAAACAGGAUUAGAUACCCCCGUAGUCCCUGAGCGGGCU
rnacentral:rRNA from 1 species